rnacentral:rRNA from 1 species
GCGAUCAGAUACCGCCCUAGUUCUGACCGUAAACGAUGCCAACUAGCGAUCCGCCAGUCGACUCAUCGCUCUGGUGGGGAGCUUCCCGGAAACGGAAGUCUUCCGGUUCCGGGGGAAGUAUGGUUGCAAAGCUGAAACUUAAAGGAAUUGACGGAAGGGCACCACCAGGAGUGGAGCCUGCGGCUUAAUUUGACUCAACACGGGGAAACUCACCCGGCCCGGACACCGUAAGGAUUGACAGAUUGAUAGCUUUUUCAUGAUUCGGUGGAUGGUGGUGCAUGGCCGUUCUUAGUUCGUGGAGCGAUUUGUCUGGUUUAUUCCGAUAACGAGCGAGACUCUGGCCUACUAAAUAGUUGACGCAUUGCCACUGUGCGCACAACUUCUUAGAGGGAUUUUCGGUGUUUUCAACCGCACGAAAUUGAGCAAUAACAGGUCUGUGAUGCCCUUAGAUGUCCGGGGCUGCACGCGCGCUACACUGGCAAACGCAACGUGCCUGUCCUGCCCCGAAAGGAGCGGGUAAACCCCUGAAAUUUUGCCGUGAUUGGGAUCGGACAUUGCAACUAUUGUCCGUGAACGAGGAAUUCCUUGUAGGGGCGAGUCAUCAACUCGUCCCGAAUACGUCCCUGCCCUUUGUA